UAGAAACCCAAAACCCAAAUAUUAGAUUACUAAAAUAACCUCCCAUAUCCACCAUUAUUCUCUUCCGUAUUUUCAUUUCUCUCUUUCUCUCUCUUUCUCACCCCGGACGAACAACCGAAAACAAAUCAAAGCAGUCGAAGAGAACUGAAGAAAAACAGAACAAAACUUCGAAAUCAAACACCAAAUCGAUCAAAAAUUAGUAGAUUAAUACUAUUACAUGAUAUAGAAAUGAAAUCUGACCGAAACACCAAAAAAAAAAAACGAAGAAAAUUAAGUUUCAGAAAUCGAUUUACUAAGGACCUUCAACAACAACAUUUUGGAAAGACCAAAUCGAAGAAAUCAGAUGCUUCUGUUGGUGUUAGGAAAUCAGUAAAGCAUUGGCAGAGGUGAGUACUGAAGAAGGGACCAUUCAAGCACAAGAAACUAAUCAAGAAUGUGGUUGAUAGCCAUUACAGGGUUUUGGUGGUUCAGCUCUUGUAGGUUGAAAAUCUACUAACAUGUGAGAAAGAUGACAAAAAAAAAGUUGGUUGGUAAUAAGUACAUCUUUGUUAUGGGAGGAUGCUACAGUUCUUAAGCCAGACACGAUAGAUUCAUGAUAGGAGUCGCUUGUUAUUUCUAAUAUAUGGUAUUGCUUUUCAUAUUGAUGUAAUUGUACCUCCUAUAUAUAUGAUAGAUUGAUGAUGUUGGUCCCUUGAACUCUAGUUCUUCAACAAUUAAUCCAGUGUUCCACUUGAUGUUAUUUCUA